CCGGAUUAAUACCGCAUACGCUCUGUGGAGGAAAGGGGGGGAUCUUAGGACCUCUCGCUCAAGGGGCGGCCGAUGGCAGAUUAGCUAGUUGGUGGGGUAAAGGCCUACCAAGGCGACGAUCUGUAGCUGGUCUGAGAGGACGACCAGCCACACUGGGACUGAGACACGGCCCAGACUCCUACGGGAGGCAGCAGUGGGGAAUUUUGGACAAUGGGCGCAAGCCUGAUCCAGCAAUGCCGCGUGUGUGAAGAAGGCCUUCGGGUUGUAAAGCACUUUUGUCCGGAAAGAAAACCUCUGUCCUAAUACGACGGGGGGAUGACGGUACCGGAAGAAUAAGCACCGGCUAACUACGUGCCAGCAGCCGCGGUAAUACGUAGGGUGCAAGCGUUAAUCGGAAUUACUGGGCGUAAAGCGUGCGCAGGCGGUUCGCUAAGACAGAUGUGAAAUCCCCGGGCUUAACCUGGGAACUGCAUUUGUGACUGGCGGGCUAGAGUAUGGCAGAGGGGGGUAGAAUUCCACGUGUAGCAGUGAAAUGCGUAGAGAUGUGGAGGAAUACCGAUGGCGAAGGCAGCCCCCUGGGCCAAUACUGACGCUCAUGCACGAAAGCGUGGGGAGCAAACA
rnacentral:rRNA from 1 species